rnacentral:tRNA from 1 species
GGUGGGUAGCACAGUGGCUAGAGCGUAGGUCUCGUAACCGAAAGGUCGCGGGAUCGAAUCCCUCAGCGAGAUUCCCCA